GACGAACGCUGGCGGCAGGCCUAACACAUGCAAGUCGAACGCGCGUAGCAAUACGCGAGUGGCGCACGGGUGAGUAACACGUGGGAAUCAACCCAGAGGUUCGGAAUAACCGCGGGAAACUGCGGCUAAUACCGGAUAUCCCCUACGGGGGAAAGAUUUAUCGCCUUUGGACGAGCCCGCGUCCGAUUAGCUAGUUGGUGAGGUAACGGCUCACCAAGGCUCCGAUCGGUAGCUGGUCUGAGAGGACGACCAGCCACACUGGAACUGAGACACGGUCCAGACUCCUACGGGAGGCAGCAGUGGGGAAUAUUGGGCAAUGGAGGCAACUCUGACCCAGCCAUGCCGCGUGGGUGACGAAGGUCUUCGGAUUGUAAAGCCCUUUCGGCGGGGACGAUGAUGACGGUACCCGCAGAAGAAGCCCCGGCUAACUUCGUGCCAGCCGCCGCCGUAAGAC
rnacentral:rRNA from 1 species